rnacentral:tRNA from 1 species
GGGCCAGUAGCUCAGCUGGUAGAGCAACGGCCUUUUAAGCCGGUGGUCCCGGGUUCGAAUCCCGGCUGGCCCA